rnacentral:rRNA from 1 species
GACGAACGCUGGCGGCGUGCCUAAUACAUGCAAGUAGAACGCUGAAGGAGGAGCUUGCUCUUCUGGACGAGUUGCGAACGGGUGAGUAACGCGUAGGUAACCUGCCUGGUAGCGGGGGAUAACUAUUGGAAACGAUAGCUAAUACCGCAUAAUAACAGUUGUUGCAUGACAACUGUUUGAAAGGUGCAAUUGCAUCACUACCAGAUGGACCUGCGUUGUAUUAGCUAGUUGGUGGGGUAACGGCCCACCAAGGCGACGAUACAUAGCCGACCUGAGAGGGUGAUCGGCCACACUGGGACUGAGACACGGCCCAGACUCCUACGGGAGGCAGCAGUGGGAAUCUUCGGCAAUGGACGAAAUGUCUGACCGAUGCAACGCCGCGUGAGUGAAGA